rnacentral:lncRNA from 1 species
UCCUCCAUUGGACCUCUCUCUCUCUCUCUCUCUCUCUCUCUCUCUCUCUCUCUCUCUCUAAAAAGGUGAAAACUGCAAAAAUUAAAAGCCUAAAAUCCCAUUUGACCAACAUGCACAGAGCUUAGUGGGUGUUUCUAUAUCUUUCAGUGCCUUCUUCUUCUGUGUUUCUCACAACCCGAAGAGAUGAAGAGAGAACACUGCCAUAGCUCUGCAACUGCAAGUCAGAAUAAUUCCAAACGAGAAUACUCAUCACCGCCGUCUUCCGCCCUGAACGGCAAGGCCAAGAUUUGGGAAGAUGAACAAGGCUACAGCGGCGGCGGCGACAUGGACGAGCUGCUUGCCGUUUUGGGAUACAAGGUUCGGACCGACGACAUGGCCGACGUGGCCGAGAAGCUCGAGCAGCUCGAGAUGGUCAUGGGGUCGGCUCAGGAAGAUGGGGUUUCUCAGCUCUCUGACACCGUCCAUUACAACCCGUCCGAUCUCUCCGGGUGGGUCCAAAGCAUGCUCUCUGAGCUCAACACCGGCGACGAUAUGCCCUCAAUCAACGGCCCUCUUCUCGCUCCAGGGGAGUCCUCGACGAUAACGUCGACGAGCUUCUGCAAUUCCCAGCGGACUCGGGUUUUCAGCGACGAUUCCGAAUACGAUCUCAGGGCUAUUCCUGGCGUGGCGGCGUACCCGCCGGCACAUUCGUCGUCGGAGACCGAGAGUACGAGAAAGCGAUUGAAGAGCUCAAUUGGGUCUAAUUCCGGCGGGAUUGAAGUCUCCGGCGCUGUAUCCGACCCGAUUCGGCCUCUGGUCCUGGUCGACUCACAAGAAACCGGUGUCCAACUCGUCCACACACUCAUGGCCUGUGCUGAGGCUGUCCAGCAGGAAAACUUGAAGCUUGCAGACGCGCUUGUGAAGCACGUGGGCCUACUCGCGGCUGCCCAAACCGGAGCUAUGAGGAAAGUCGCCACGUACUUCGCUGAAGCUCUGGCUCGUCGGAUUUACCGAAUAUACCCUCAGGAUUGCCUCGAUUCUUCCUACUCGGACAUUCUCCAGAUGCACUUCUACGAGACCUGCCCCUACCUGAAAUUUGCUCACUUCACUGCCAACCAGGCAAUACUCGAGGCUUUUGCCACGGCGACCAGAGUACACGUCAUCGAUUUCGGGCUUAAACAGGGGAUGCAAUGGCCAGCGCUCAUGCAGGCGCUGGCACUAAGGCCCGGUGGCCCACCCGUGUUUCGCCUGACGGGUAUUGGGCCGCCGCAGCCCGAUAACACCGACGUUCUGCAGCAGGUGGGAUGGAAGUUGGCUCAAUUGGCAGAAACUAUUGGGGUCGAGUUUGAAUUUCGAGGAUUCGUGGCCAAUAGCCUGGCUGACCUCGAGCCGUCUAUGCUUGACAUCCGUCAGGACGAGGCCGUAGCGGUGAAUUCGGUUUUCAAGCUUCACGGUCUCUUGGCUCGAGCCGGGGCGGUGGACAAAGUGUUGUCAUCAAUCAAGGCCAUGAAGCCUAAAAUUGUGACUAUUGUGGAGCAGGAGGCGAACCAUAACGGGCCGGUUUUCUUGGACCGGUUCACGGAGGCAUUGCAUUAUUAUUCAAGCUUGUUUGACUCUCUGGAGGGAUCGUCCGGGCCGAGUCAAGAUUUGGUCAUGUCCGAGGUCUAUUUGGGUAGGCAGAUAUGCAACGUGGUGGCAUGUGAAGGUGGGGACCGAGUUGAGCGACACGAGACGCUGACUCAGUGGCGAGGCCGGAUGGACUCCGCCGGGUUCGACCCAGUCCACCUCGGAUCGAACGCGUUCAAGCAGGCUAGCAUGCUGCUUGAUCUUUUCGCCGGCGUAGAUGGGUAUCGGGUGCAGGAGAACAAUGGGUCUCUCAUGCUCGGGUGGCACACGCGGCCGCUCAUAGUCACCUCGGCUUGGAAGCUGGCGAGCUCAACGGAGUGAGUGAAUGAGUCAAUUUCAGUCGGUUCAGCGGCGGUGAUUGAUUGAACCACCGGGCACCCAGUGGGGUGGUUGGACACUGUGACCAUGUGAGUUGUGAAUUGUCAGUAGAGAGAGUGGGGACUACAAUGAAAGUGAAACUGUGAAACCAAUCCAAUCGAAUCAAUCAAGUGGUGUAAACUGUGUAGUUGUAAUUGUAAUGGUAGUUUUUUAUUUUUUUUUUCAUUUUUUUUAUGGGCCCUUUUGCAUAAGUUCCAAGUUGUAGAGUCCUUUCGACAAGGGGGACGAAUGAAUCAUUGUGACGAUGUGUAACUAUCUAUCUUUUCUGGAAUAAAAUGAUGAGCAUUGAUUCUUGAAUGGGAAAGAAACCAUUUUGCUCUCUGUAAAUUUGACACAUUA